rnacentral:rRNA from 1 species
CCCGCUGAACUUAAGCAUAUCAAUAAGCGGAGGAAAAGAAACUAACAAGGAUUCCCUUAGUAACUGCGAGUGAAGUGGGAAAAGCUCAAAUUUAGAAUCUGGCAGGCACUUGGCUGUCCGAGGUGUAAUCUAGAGAAGUGUUGCCCGUGCUCGGACCAGAGUACAAGUCUCCUGGAAUGGAGCAUCACAGAGGGUGAGAAUCCUGUCUUUGACAUGGACAGCCAGUGCUUUUGUGGUACGCUCUCAUAGAGUCGAGUUGUUUGGCAAUGCAGCUCAAAAUGGGUGGUAAAUGCCAUCUAAAGCUAAAUAUUGGCGAGAGACCGAUAGAGUACAAGUACCGUGAGGGAAAGAUGAAAAGCACUUUGGAAAGAGAGUGAAACAGUACGUGAAAUUGUUGAAAGGGAAACGCUUGUAGUCAGUCGCGUCUUCUGGAACUCAGCCUUGCUUCUCCUCGGUGCACUUUCCAUGUUCGACGGGUCAGCAUUGCGUUUCGGUGGGGCAGACAAAGGCGGAGGGAAGGUGGCCGCUCCGGCGGUGUUAUAGCCCUCCGUUGUACGUGUCCCCUGGGACUGAGGAAUCCGGCGCAAGCCUGGUGAUGCUGGCGUAAUGGCUUUAAGCGACCCGUCUUGAAACACGG